UAUUUGUUUGAGGUAGUGAGUUAUCUCAAUUGAUUGCUCAGUCCGUUACAGAUCAAACUGCUUGUUCUAAUCUUUCCCCUUCUCACCACUGCACUUGACUAGUCUUAA
ensembl:misc_RNA Y_RNA Y RNA